CCUACGGGACGCAGCAGUGAGGAAUAUUGGUCAAUGGGCGCGAGCCUGAACCAGCCAAGUCGCGUGAGGGAAGACGGUCCUAUGGAUUGUAAACCUCUUUUGUCGGGGAGCAAAAGCGGAGACGCGUCUCCGGAUGAGUGUACCCGAAGAAAAAGCAUCGGCUAACUCCGUGCCAGCAGCCGCGGUAAUACGGAGGAUGCGAGCGUUAUCCGGAUUUAUUGGGUUUAAAGGGUGCGCAGGCGGGAGAUCAAGUCAGCGGUAAAAUGUCGGGGCUCAACCCCGGCCGGCCG
rnacentral:rRNA from 1 species